rnacentral:rRNA from 1 species
AUGUAGGGAAGGGAUAAACGCUGAAAGCAUCUAAGUGUGAAGCCCACCUCAAGAUGAGAUUUCCCAUUUCUUUAAGAAAGUAAGAUCCCUGAGAGAUGAUCAGGUAGAUAGGUCAGGAGUGGAAGUACAGUGAUGUAUGGAGCGGACUGAUACUAAUCGAUCGAGGACUUAACCAAU